rnacentral:rRNA from 1 species
UAGAGUUUGAUCCUGGCUCAGGACGAACGCUGGCGGCGUGCCUAAUACAUGCAAGUCGGGCGGAGCCCGAGGGGAGCUUGCUCCUUUUCGGGCUCAGCGGCGGACGGGUGAGUAACACGUGGGUAACCUGCCCGUAAGACCGGGAUAACUCCGGGAAACCGGGGCUAAUACCGGAUAACACCGGGGGCCGCAUGGCUUCCGGUUGAAAGGCGGCCUUUGGCUGCCACUUACGGAUGGGCCCGCGGCGCAUUAGCUAGUUGGCGGGGUAACGGCCCACCAAGGCGACGAUGCGUAGCCGGCCUGAGAGGGUGGACGGCCACACUGGGACUGAGACACGGCCCAGACUCCUACGGGAGGCAGCAGUAGGGAAUCUUCCGCAAUGGGCGAAAGCCUGACGGAGCGACGCCGCGUGAGCGAGGAAGGCCUUCGGGUCGUAAAGCUCUGUUGUCAGGGAAGAAGGCGCGCCGUUCGAACAGGGCGGCGCGGUGACGGUACCUGACGAGGAAGCCCCGGCUAACUACGUGCCAGCAGCCGCGGUAAAACGUAGGGGGCGAGCGUUGUCCGGAAUUACUGGGCGUAAAGCGCGCGCAGGCGGUCCUUUAAGUCUGAUGUGAAAUUCCGCGGCUCAACCGCGGGUGUGCAUUGGAAACUGGGGGACUUGAGUGCGGAAGAGGGGAGCGGAAUUCCCGGUGUAGCGGUGAAAUGCGUAGAGAUCGGGAGGAACACCAGUGGCGAAGGCGGCUCUCUGGUCCGCAACUGACGCUGAGGCGCGAAAGCGUGGGGAGCGAACAGGAUUAGAUACCCUGGUAGUCCACUCCGUAAACGAUGAGUGCUAAGUGUUAGAGGGGAUAGAUUCUUUUAGUGCUGCAGCUCACGCAUUAAGCACUCCACGUGGGGAGU